GUAUGUAUGUGUGUGUAUAUAUAUAUAUGUGUGUGUGUGUGUGUGUGUGUGUGUACACACACACACACACACACACACACACACACACACACACACACAUACUGGGGAUUGGACCCAGGGAUUUGCUCAUACUAAGCAAAUGUGCAACCACUGAGUUACAAACUACCCCUGAAUGU